GCACGCUUUGAUCUUUCUAGACUUCCUUCUCCUUGGAAGACAAGCACCAACUUGGUAGCAGUGUCUUGGCUUUUAAGAGUCUACUCUUCCCCUCCGCCCCAACCCAGUCCUCAGGGCUGUGUUGGUGAGUACUGUUUCUCAAACUGACUGAUGGAGUCUGCCAAAUGUACUGCAAAUUUCUACAAUUUUCUGAGCUGUGGGUGAAAACAUCCUAGCAUGUGACAGAAGAAAAGAGCAUCAGGAGGAAAUCAGUUCAGGCCUUUCUGAUUAUUGGAGAAAAAUCAGGGAAGCGAUAUAUUGUGACCUCAGCUUGUGUGUGGAAAGGGAAGAUCCAGUAACAAGAAUAGAAAUAACAGGUAAAGUGGAUGACAGGCACAUGAAGGACAAGAAGAUGAUUGAGAACAGACAGCUGGAUUUAUCAAAGGCAAAUUGUGUCUGC
rnacentral:lncRNA from 1 species